GCGAAGGAACCACUUUUUGGUUUGAGUUGAAUGCACUUCUUCCUUCUUUUUCUUGGAUUCACUCUACGGAAGCUCUUGGUGGUUGAAAUACUUUAAUGCUCAAAUGGAAUAGCUCUCUACUUGUCUACUACUGUUCACUCUGGCUAUUUUAGUGAUUCCUUUUGAAAAAUAGCCGUUAGAGAGUGAUUUGAAGCCGUUCUGAUCCGUCUGCACAAUCUGACAAUGUAUCCGUUGGGAUCGGAGUCGACUCGUGCGAUCUGGAGUCGAUUCGGCUGUUACUGGAGUCGACUCGCGCUUUACUGGAGACGACUCGUCCGCUGUUUCAGAUUUGAAUUAAAGCGCAUCCCUCGUCCUAGGGUCGACUCUGACCAAAUUGGAGUCGACUCGCCAACAGCUGGAGACGACUUGGGCACUAGGGGUUGGCUCGUUCUCUGGGUUUCAGAAACUUAACUUUCUGUUUUUCUUCCUCGAGUUGACUUGGGUUUACUUGGAGUCGACUCGAGAUCUUUGGGAGAUGUCUCAUUCUCAGAGACCGAAAAAUUGAUUCUCUAUCUUUUGAGUUGUUCUGCUUCGGAGUCGACUCGGAUUUUGUUGGAGUCGACUCGGCUAACUUGAGGGUCGACUCUGAAACACUUGGAGUCGACUCGUUCACAGGAUCUCCGAAACUGAGUCUCUGCCUUUCAGACUGUUUUUCUUUGGAAGUCGACUCGGACAAACUGGAAGUCGACUCGGCUGAUAUGGGAGACGACUCGUAGGCUUCGCGAGACGGCUUGUUGACAGGGUCUCAAAAACUAGCGUUCUGUCUUUUGUCUGUUACUCUUUGGAGUCGACUUGGGAUCAUCUGGAGUCGACUCGGCAAGCAUCAGAGUCGACUCUCAAACUUUUAGAGUCGAUUCGUUAACAGGGUCUAAAAUUCGUCGUUCUGUCUUUCUGUCUGUUCUCAGUCGGAGUCGACUCGAAGAGUUCCGGAGUCGACUCGAGCUUGUGCUAGAAACUCGAAGUGUGCAGGAGUCGACUCGCAAGGUUCAGGAGUCGACUCGUGAUGCAGACUUUGGUUCAAAUACAGUUCAAUACUCAACCAAACUAUUUUGAACCAAAGCUCAAGACACUUAGACAGAAAUUCAUAAAGAUUUACUUGAAACACUAGAUUGAAUUCAUUAGAAUAACAUAAGACAUACUCCAAUGCUUUGAGCUCAUCAAAAUCAAUUAGGGAAUACUCAAUCACUCCACAAUCUCCCCCUUUUUGAUGAUGACAAAACAUUGAGUAUUUGUAAAGUGAAUUGCUCAUUCAAGAAAUGAUUCAAGAUAAAGUUUUGAAAUGAAUUCAAAUGUCUAGUCAUUUAGUGUAUCCAAAAUUGAAGGAUAUGAGUCAGUAAACUCUGAAAAUUAAAGCUCCCCCUUUCAUUUAGAAUUAUAUAAGCCUUCAAAUCAUAUAAUCAAUUGUUUGGUGGACGUCUAGAGGAAGAAGAUGAAGCUCCCAGAUUUCUUCGCUGACACUCCAAAAGCAACCGAACUCCUUCAGAGAUAUUCCCCAGUUGCGCAAUAAUUUCUGAAGUAGUCCUAGCUUGAGUUUGGGUCAGUUGGGUUACGCUGUCGAUGAUUGUAUCAAGCUUAUCUAUGACUGCAUUUGCUAUCCUUUCAGCUCGAUUCAGGCUUAGCAGCUUGGAUCUGACUGAAUCUUGCAUCUACUUUGUAGCUUCCUGAAUGUCUGAGCAUCUCAUGUAUUGACCCUGAAUAAGACUUCUCAGACUAGAUAACUCCUUCACUUCAGCAAUCAUCAUAGAAAUAGCUGCAGUGGAGGGGGUCAGAUCAGUGGAGGGUGUACUAGUGGUACUCCUGAGUUCUCUCAAAAUGUCAUCCCUCAAUUCUCUGAGCUGCUCACUACUAAUCCUAACCUCAAGGGGUUGCUGAGAUGAGGAGGGACCAGUAGUGGAUGAAGGGCCAGCAGUGGAUGGGAAGGUGGAGGGAUCUGCGGAGGUAUCCGGUUCAGGUUCAGAAGUGGGAGAGUGAGGAGCAGUGGGUUCAGAUGGUAUGGUAGAAGAAGUUUUCCUAACUUAAGUACCCUCAACCUUGUGGAAUCCUAUUCGGUGGAGAGCCUCGUUCAUAUAGUCCGUGUAACGGAUUGAACGAAAGGGUUCCCCCUCAGGGAUAGGAACCUCUAACUCCCUAAGUAUCAAGGUGAAGAGCAUCCAUAGGGAAGACUCAGUCUGGGUUUAUCUAAAGGUUCACAAAUAUAACUGUAAAUAAGUUUAGGAAAGUUGAGAGGGACGUCAUGUAGGAUGUUGAACAUGAUAGCUAAAUUUUUCUCAGAAAUAAAGUCAAAUCUACCCGUUUUAGGAAAGAGAGUGCGAGAGAUUAUACUAAGUAGGAGGCGCAUCUCAGCGGAGAGCUGAUUUGCAAAAACCUCAAUGGGGGAUUGGGGUGCUCUCCCUAGAAUGGUCGUAAGGGCCUCAGACCUAUCAGUAGGGUGAGU
rnacentral:lncRNA from 1 species